rnacentral:rRNA from 1 species
GACGUAGGGUCCAAGCGUUUGUCCGGAUUUACUGGGCGUAAAGAGCGCGUAGGCGGUCUAGUAAGUGUGAAGUGAAAUCUCCAGGGCUCAACCCGGAAACUGCUUUACAUACUGCAAGACUGGAGUGAUGAAGAGGUUUGUGGAAUUCCUGGUGUAACGGUGAAAUGUGUUGAUAUCAGGAGGAACACCCAUGGCGAAGGCAGCAAACUGGUCAUCAACUGACGCUGAGGCGCGAAAAGCGUGGGUAGCAAACAGG